rnacentral:misc_RNA from 1 species
UUUCCGUAGGUGAACCUGCGGAAGGAUCAUUACCGAUUGAGGGUCUCUCAGGCCCGAGCUCCUACUCUGUGUUUUUGUUGCCUUGUUGUUGUGGCGGGGGCGCCCCUAUGAUAGGCCGCCGGAAGCGCAUCGCUUUGGGCCCGUGUCCCGCAGCAUCGCCCUCUAAGUCCUAAUAAUCCUGACGUCAAAACUUAGAAAAAAUAAAAAAAACUUUCUACAACCGAUCACUUGGUUCUGGCAUCGAUGAAGAACGCAUCAGAACGGAAGACACAACGCCAA